rnacentral:rRNA from 1 species
UACGUAGGGUGCAAGCGUUAAUCGGAAUUACUGGGCGUAAAGCGUGCGCAGGCGGUGAUGUAAGACAGGUGUGAAAUCCCCGGGCUUAACCCGGGAACUGCAUUUGUGACUGUAGAGCUGGAGUACGGUAGAGGGGGAUGGAAUUCCGCGUGUAGCAGUGAAAUGCGUAGAUAUGCGGAGGAACACCGAUGGCGAAGGCAAUCCCCUGGACCUGUACUGACGCUCAUGCACGAAAGCGUGGGGAGCAAACAGG